rnacentral:rRNA from 1 species
GGAAUAUUGGGCAAUGGGCGCAAGCCUGACCCAGCGACGCCGCGUGAGGGAUGAAGGCCUUCGGGUUGUAAACCUCUUUCAGUAGGGAAGAAGCGAAAGUGACGGUACCUAAAGAAGAAGCACCGGCUAACUAUGUGCCAGCAGCCGCGGUAAUACAUAGGGUGCAAGCGUUGUCCGGAAUUAUUGGGCGUAAAGAGCUCGUAGGUCGUUUGCCGCGUCGAUUGUGAAAAUCUGAGGCUCAACCUCAGACCUGCAGCCGAUACGGGCAAACUAGAGUGUGGUAGGGGAGACUGGAAUUCCUGGUGUAGCGGUGGAAUGCGCAGAUAUCAGGAGGAACACCAAUGGCGAAGGCAGGUCUCUGGGCCAUAACUGACACUGAGGAGCGAAAGCGCGGGGAGCGAACAGGAUUAGAUACCCUGGUAGUCCGCGCCGUAAACGAUGGGCACUAGCUGUGAGAGCCUUCCACGGUUCUCGCGACGCAGCAAACGCAUUAAGUGCCCCGCCUGGGGAGUACGAUCGCAAGAUUAAAACUCAAAUGAAUUGACGG